rnacentral:rRNA from 1 species
ACGUAUGGGGCAAGCGUUGUUCGGAAUUAUUGGGCGUAAAGGGCGUCUAGGCGGGGGAUUAAGUUAGAUGUGAAAGCUAUCGGCUCAACCCAUAAACUGCAUCUGAGACUGGUUUUCUUGAGUCCGGGUGAGGAAAGCGGAAUUCCAGGUGUAGCGGUGAAAUGCGUAGAUAUCUGGAAGAACACCAGUGGCGAAGGCAGCUUUCUGGCCUACAACUGACGCUGAGGCGCGAAAGCGUGGGGAGCGAACAG